rnacentral:lncRNA from 1 species
AGAAAAAUCUGAUUGUGAUAUAUAAAUGAACUUAUGUAUUCAAUGUGAAAUAAUUUCAUUCAAUAUCCUCAGUCCUAUGCAAAAUUCAAGAUUAACCAUUUUGGUGAAGUAAUUGGAAACAGACCAUUCCCAUUUAAUAAUUGCUUACCCUACUUGGACCAUCCAGGCAUUCGAGUUUUGAAAGAAGAAAAAAAAAAAAUAGAGAGACUCCACUAUGAUUAUAAAUGGGAACUAACCCUCACUUACUUUAGUUAUUUAUUGACCUUUUCUAACAUCUGAUGUCUCACCUUUGUCCUAGCAUGGACUGGAAGGAAUCCUUCUGCCACCAACUAUUUUCUUCACAUGCUUCCCAGAAUUCCUGCUCCUGUGACCCUGACAUUCACCCUCAUGAAUGGGCUGGGUUUUCUAGCAUUUCCAUGUGUCUGCUUUUCAGAUCCUAGUACCCCAACCAAAAUGAUUUUCAAAUGUUUAAAUGCUUCAUUAUUUUAAGUUUCUAAUCCAGUGGUGAAAAAUAUAUGUGGAGAACCAAAUAAUGUUUUUCAAUGCUGUAGGGUUGUUACUAUCCAGACC